rnacentral:rRNA from 1 species
CAGCAGCCCGAGUGGUGGUUGUUUUUAUUGGGCCUAAAGCGUCCGUAGCCGGUCUAGUAAAUCCUUGGAUAAAUCGUACAGCUUAACUGUACGGCUCCCGGGGAGACUGCUAGACUUGGGACUGGGAGAGGUCGGAGGUACUCCAGGGGUAGGGGUGAAAUCUUGUAAUCCUUGGGGGACCACCAGUGGCGAAGGCGUCCGACUAGAACGGGUCCGACGGUAAGGGACGAAGCCCUGGGGCGCGAACCGGAUUAGAUACCCGAGUAGUCC